rnacentral:rRNA from 1 species
CUACGGGGGGCUGCAGUGGGGAAUAUUGAACAAUGGGGGAAACCCUGAUGCAGCAACGCCGCGUGGAGGAUGACACAUUUCGGUGCGUAAACUCCUUUUAUAGGUCAAGAUAAUGACGGUAGCCUAUGAAUAAGCGCCGGCUAACUCCGUGCCAGCAGCCGCGGUAAUACGGAGGGCGCAAGCGUUACUCGGAAUCACUGGGCGUAAAGAGCAUGUAGGCGGGUUAAUAAGUCAGAAGUGAAAUCCAAUAGCUCAACUAUUGAACUGCUUUUGAAACUGUUAACCUAGAGUGUGGGAGAGGUAGAUGGAAUUUCUGGUGUAGGGGUAAAAUCCGUAGAGAUCAGAAGGAAUACCGAUUGCGAAGGCGAUCUACUGGAACAUUACUGACGCUGAGAUGCGAAAGCGUGGGGAGCAAACAGGAUUAGAUACCCGCGUAGUC